GCCCGGUUAGCUCAGUCGGUAGAUCAUCAGACUUUUAAUCUGAGGGCCAUGGGUUCUAGUCCCAUAUCGGGCG
rnacentral:tRNA from 1 species